rnacentral:lncRNA from 1 species
CCCGAAAUUCCGAGCUUAAAAACACCCGAUCCCGACGUCCCGAAAAAGGUCCUGUAUUCGUAGUAUAUGUAUGUUAAAAACGCAAACCGGAAGUCUAAUCUGACUUAAAAUUUCGUCCAAUGACGGAAACAUAUCCGGACGCCUUUUUUCUCGUUUUUCUCCCAAAAUAACUCAAUCUGAAUAAUCAUAUGAAUGGAUGACAAAUGCGACUAUGCACUAUACCUAUAGGACACAGAGGCAUGAUAAUUAAUUUAUUGUGGAAAGAAGAGAAGCG